GAAAUGCGAUAAGUAAUGUGAAUUGCAGAAUUCAGUGAAUCAUCGAAUCGUUGAACGCACAUUGCGCCCGCCAGUAUUCUGGCGGGCAUGCCUGUCCGAGCGUCAUUUCAACCAUCAAGCCCCCGGGCUUGUGUUGGGGACCUGCGGCUGCCCGCAGGCCCUGAAAACCAGUGGCGGGCUCGCUGUCACACCGAGCGUAGUAGCAAUCACCUCGCUCAGGGCGUGCUGCGGGUUCCGGCCGUUAAACAGCCUUACAAAACCCAAGGUUGACCUCGGAUCAGGUAGGAAGACCCGCUGAACUUAAGC
rnacentral:misc_RNA from 1 species